rnacentral:lncRNA from 1 species
CUCCACCUCCCGGGUUCAAGAGGCUGAGGCAGGAGGAUUGCUUGAACCUUGGAGGCGGAGGUUGCAGUGAGCCAAGAUUGCGCCACCGCACUCCAGUGUGGGUGACAGGGCCAGACUCUGUCUCCAAAAAUAAUAAUAAUAAAGAUAUAAAUAAGAAUUUUUCCCUUGAGCGGGGGUCUGUGACCUCUUUGAGCUUUCCAACACAGCCCCAGGGAUUGGGAGCCCCUAGGUGAGAGCCGCUGGAAACUACAUUGUCACUAGCAGCUCAGGGGAGCUUGGGAUAGUUGAAGCCCCACACCUGGAGAAGCCCUGAGCCACAAAGGGUUGUACCUUGACAUCUUAACCCAGCUAGAGGCCUUGUGAAAUAUGAACGGCUGUAUCAAUGCCUGCCUUCAGUACCUUAUUAUUAUUAUUAUUAUUUUGACACAGAGUCUCGCAUUGUCACCUGGGCUGCAGUGCAGUGGCG